GAUGAAGAACGUAGCGAAAUGCGAUAAGUAGUGUGAAUUGCAGAAUUCAGUGAAUCAUCGAAUCUUUGAACGCACAUUGCGCCCCAUGGUAUUCCGUGGGGCAUGCCUGUUCGAGCGGCAUUUACCCCCUCAAGCUCCGCUUGGUGUUGGGCGUCUGUCCCGCUUCGCGCGCGGACUCGCCCCAAAGGUAUUGGCAGCGGUCGUGCCAGCUUCUCGCGCAGCACAUUGCGCUUCUCGAGGCACCGGUGGGCCCGCGUCCAUCAAGCUCACCCCCCCAGUUUGACCUCGGAUCAGGUAGGGAUACCCGCUGAACUUAAGCAUAUCAAUAAGCGGAAGA
rnacentral:misc_RNA from 1 species